rnacentral:miRNA from 1 species
UACGAACAACCGCCAACCCUCU